UGCACCUAAACCUGGAAACUUCCAAUAUCCAAGUUUAAGGGCAAGUGGUUUCAUUACCUUUCCUAAUAUGAUACUCGAGCAUAUUUAAAUAUGUAAGGAUUAUUCACUUUAGCAUGAUCGAGGUGUGCUCAUUUGCUAUUCAACUUUCUUUGCUGAAGUUGAAUCCUUAAGAGAAAAGGUUGCAGAAGAGGUUUCACUAUAAUUUAAACUAAUGACAAAUCAUUUGUUGUUUUGGAGCAUAAAUAUUUUAUUUGUAAAGGCAGAGCAUGCAGUUUAAUUUCAAGGUCCGGCCAACAAAUUCAGACCAUUAUAUGUGCUCCAAGUCUCCUUCUAGUGUGAUUGUUCAAGUUCCUGUAUCUCCACUACAACAGGAACAGGUAUUCUAUCAGUGAGUCCAAUAUGAUGAAAAUUCACAUCUUAUAGCAGCUACUUGGUGAAGUGGAAAUAACUUAUCCUCAACUAAAGAAGUUACCGGAAAUGCAUUACUAAGAUUGGUUGCUAAGUUUCUGGAGAAGAAUCAUCUGCAGUGAUGGACGACAAUUGAUGAAACUAGUUGGGCAACAUUUAAGUUAUGGUGUCUCUGAGACCAAUUGAGGAUCUUCGAACAAGGUAAGCUUAGUUGCAAAGCUCGUUUAACUGUUUUCAGACAUUGAUUAGAAUUUCAAGUACUACAAUGGUUGAGAAGUGGAAAACUUUUCUAUUGAAAUUGUUUUCCUUGCUUUGGCAAUAUGGCAAUAAUUGAGCUCCCAAAAACGUUUUGCAAGGAAUCAGAGUUUUCAAGUUCAAGGCUUCUUCUAUCAAGUGUGCAAGGAAUCAGAGUGUUCCACUAUCAAGUGUGCAACACUGCAGCUAGAUAAUUGGAAUCAUUGGCCACCAUCUAUCAUUGUGGGUAGUGACUUUGCUUCUCUGGAGGUUAAUAAACAACAAAGUUCAGUAAUUUUUUAUUCUGUAGGCUUAUCUUUUCAUCAUUUCUCUCCCAAAUGUAUUAUUAGUUCCAAAUUUCAAAAAAUUUCACCAUUUUUAAUU